CGAACGGGUGAGUAACGCGUGAGGAACCUGCCUCAAAGAGGGGGACACCAGUUGGAAACGACUGCUAAUACCGCAUAAGCCCACGGCUCGGCAUCGAGCAGAGGGAAAAGGAGUAAUCCGCUUUGAGAUGGCCUCGCGUCCGAUUAGCUAGUUGGUGAGGUAACGGCCCACCAAGGCGACGAUCGGUAGCCGGACUGAGAGGUUGAACGGCCACAUUGGGACUGAGACACGGCCCAG
rnacentral:rRNA from 1 species